UGGAAAAAAAAAAAAAAAAAAAAAAAAAAAAAAAA
rnacentral:ribozyme from 1 species